UUUUUUUUAUUUUGCAAGGGAAAAUAAUAAGUUUUUAUUUAUUAUUAUUGGGUUUUUGCAUAGCUGGCAAGAAGGGUAAAGUCAAUCUCUUUCUCUCUCCUCCGCUCUGAGUACCAGCUGUUCUUCAUGAGGGGAUAUAUGAGCAGUUUUAUACAGUUUUAAUAUCCACCAGAAAUUACAUCUCACUGCUUUGGGGACUGAACCUUUAAAAUUCAAUUUCAAAUAAAUAUAAUUAUAAAAUAAGGUAGGAAAAAAAAAAAAAGGAAAGAGAAGGAAAGAGAAUAUCAAAAUUCAGCUCCUUGCUGUAAGAGCUUCAGGGCACAGCCAGUAGGGCUGUGUUUUUAGCAACAGUAAGUAAAAUGGCCCGGGGCUCUGAGAUUAAUAUGUUGAUGUUUUGGUCACCACUCUCUGUAUGAACCCAGAGAUGGAAAAUCCCAUUCUGCAAAGAAGCAAUGCGAGCAGGAGAUUUGCAGAAAAGUUUUUGUAUUUUCCUCAAAUGCCUUAUAAUUGGUGAAAUACUGAAAGAGGAGACAUUGAAAAAACAACUUGAAACUGAGAGGAGGAAACAAGGACUGCUGAAGUAUCAUACCAAUGUUCAUUCCCCUGAAAACAGACCUACCUCUAAACAAAAUAAGGCCUCAGAGAGCACUGGUGAAAUUCUGGAAGGUAGAAAACAAACCACAAGCACUAAAACACAACCAUUCCAAGGCCAAAAGUUUUGCAGCUUUUUAAUUGCAUUCAAAAAUAACAGAAUGGAUGAUCUUGUUGUUAAAAUGUAAGACUACAGUGUGGACAUGUUAGCCCGCAGAGAGGCAUUGAACCUUACGUGCAUGUGCAAUGUUUCUAACAGGCUAUCAUUUUUAAUUGGAGAAGAAUUCACAUUAAAUUAAGAAAGUCCUUGCCUACAGGUCUGAACAGACCUGAGCUAAUAGGUGUUCCUUCUGCUUAAAGAAGCUAAGGAAAACAAAACUUAUUUAGCAUUUUUCAGCAGUGGUCUACUAUUUGCUGCCAAUAAUACAUAAGACUGUGCUGCAACACCUGUUGGGACCCCAGUAAAUGCACAUCCUGAGCGUAACAGACAGGCAGACAGUGCUAGCAGGGGAAACAGAUGCAUGGAAAGUGCAGGCAGCUGAUGCAGGAGUCACAGGGAAGGGGACUCUCAGGGUUUUGUUCCCUGUCCCUGAGAUUGCCCUGAACACAGGGAACACAGAUAUAGUGGGAAAAUCAUUUGAAAUCUGAGGAUGGGCCGGUUACAAGUAUGGCUCCACAGUCUGGCUGGAAAUAUAACUGGUUCACCUGAACCUAUGUGGAAAUUCAUGUCCAUUGGCAAAAGCCCUGCUUGAAAUAAAGACUUAGAAGAGACUUUGGAGAGGUGAGGAGCUGCCUGCACCCUCCACACUGAAAACAUGCUCAAGGUACUCAGCAAUUUGUAAGACAGCUUCUGCAUGUAGGUGCCCAAUUCUACAACCAGCACCUCCUUGUACUUCUCUGCCUUGCUUCUUAGGAGAGAUCUGUUCUAUCCAAAAUGCAAUGUUAAUACUUUAGAAAAGAUGCACGUAGUGUAAGGUGUAUGGUCGCAGACUGAUUUAAUCUUGUGUAGGUAUGGGAUCUAGUAGCUCACUUUGAUUUUCUAAGCUGAAUCUAAGAAUAUAUGUUUUCUUCAAACCAAGGUGAAGAACACUUAUUGGGAAAGAACUUGUCCUUUCAUAGAGUAUUGCAAAUUUUAGGGCAACCAAAUGACACAGUUGUGAAAAGCUAAGCAUUCCUGAGGGUAGCUGAGAACACAAAAAUCCCAUGACAGGAGGGAACCAUGUUUUGUGGUCACAAGCAUAAUCAUUAGAUGAGGAAAUAAACUGAAAAGGCCAAACACUUCUUUGGCUCAGACAUCUUACAAAGAGACCCAGAUCUUGACCAGUACAGAUUUUGUUCUAAGAACUUUUCUGGGAUCCAGUGAUUCCAGAAAACCUUUCUCUUUUUCUCUAUCAGUUUUAUCAGUUGCUGCUGAGACUUCAGUGGAAAUCCUUGGAAGCAGAUUUCCUCUCUUUUCCACAUCAUGCUCCAGUGACCAACUUUGCUCUGUGCAAUCUGCCCAACCACAGCAGGACACAGUCACAAAUCAGUCGGCACUUUAGGAGCCCCUUCACUUUUAUCUCACCUUGCUCUCCGUCUGCCCCCUUCCCAGGCCUUGUCCUUUCUUAUACAACUUGUAUAUCAUCAGAUAACUAAGUAAAUAUCAUUUCGGAGAGCUGCCCCCUCUUGCGAUGCAUCUGAAUGAGCACCAGGUUUGCAGUUAUUUGUUUAGCCACUGAGCUGAACAAAUUAGAUUAACACAACACAUGCAGUGAGGGGAGGAGGACACGAGGAGGGGGGCCCUUCUGACAGAGACUGGAAAGAUGCUGGGGAAGUAUUGUUGUCAUGGCAAUUAACCCUGUCUUGGCAACGGUGUUCUUCAUUCCCCCAGAAAAUCUGCUAGGUGAUUCCCCUUUCUUCUCUUUUCUGUGUGCUGCAGAACUGGGGCAGAGCUGCACAGGAUCAAAGCUGUGCUUCAGAGCUCGGGAGGUUGUGACAGUUGCAGUUGUGUGCAUGGAGAUGUGUGGGAGACGCUUCCUUCUGCUAAAUUUGGUGACACACUGUUAACAAGACAAUACAACAGCAGGGUUGGCUGCUGUUUCCUCUCCCUUUCUCUAUUUUUUUUACAGCCCAAUAAACCCUUUCAUUAUAUUUCAAAUGUGUUUCCUUUAAAGCUGUUGUGAAGAAUCCCUCCUACUGCUUACACUGCUCUUCCUCUUUUCUCACUGCAGCUGAUAAGCAUCUCACUCUAUCAGGUCCUGUUUUGUACACCAGACACACAGCAUGGGGUUGUGGCAAAACAGCUUGCUCUCCUCUCUUUGAGAAGGGCAUCUCACAAGAACUCUGCUCUUACACAGCCAGCUAGUCACCCUCACCUUUAAUUUCAGGAAAACUUAGCGUGUUCUUCACCCACAGAGCUGGAAAACACGUCAAAAACUUGCCAAGGCAGAAUUUCUGCCAGUUUAAAUCAGUACAGCUCCCCUGAAAUCAAAGAAUUUACUGUCUAGAGGGACCAGAUUAAAGCAUGGAAACCUUGGGAAUGUUGUUGCCCAUGUUUUAUGGAUGGCACAGCAGAGUCAGAAAAGGGUGAUUCACAUGGAAUCACUGUCCUGGGAGCAGCCAGAAACCUCAUGCAUCAUAAACCAGCAAGUCAAACACAGAACUUCUCUGGUGUGAAGCAGCAAUGACCAUCCUCAAAACAUUGUACCAGAAAGCCAGGAGACUGGUGCAUUUUCCAAGUGGAAAUUGCCAAAAAGACCAUAGGGAAAUCGGAUUUGUCAAAAGGUAACUUUGACUGUGUUCUACAACUUUGACUUGGAGCUGGUAUUUUUUCAACUCUGCCCCUCUCAUUGAAAGGUCUGGAAGCAGUGACCUCUCACUGUUGGAAACACAGCACUGAAUUGUGAUUUUCUAUUUCUGAGAUAAAUUCCUCUACAAAGGGGAAAAAGUACAUCCAGCACACAAGAAUACCUCAGUGAUUCCUCUUCCACCACAUGAAAUACCGCAAGUGCUUAGGUAAUUGGAAAUAGGAUGAAUCUAAUUGCAAGAAAAGCUUUACUAGAUUAAUCAAUUUAAUGUCACCUCUGAUAACUCUUGAAGCAAUUCCAUGUAGAUAAUCAGGAUGUAUUGAUAAUCCAAACAAAUCGAGAGGUGUGGAGUGAUGGAAAAGCCUUUUCCCUCAGUGUUGUAUUGUUACAAAAAGACACUUGAAAGACACAAACAAGAAUUUUUUUUUCCCCUUCUAAUAAAAUCUGUCUCCAGCAAGUUUUAAGAUGGUGGAAAAGGAUUCAAAUAACUUUGUUUAUCUAACUAAAUUGUAACAGGCAUUUUCUUUUCCAGGACACUCACAGAUUCUAUACUGUUUUCCAGCGUUAUUCAAACUGAAGUAGGGACCUGAAGCCAGAAGGAGUAAACCAGACUCUAGGCACCAAUAAUGGUAACAGCAAGAAUUCUCUGUUUCUCAGUGGCAAUUUCCAGAGGGGCUAGUGGAGAUGUGGUAGAAGGCUGAGCUCAGAGUUAGACUAAGUCUGUGGGGUGUAUUAGUUGGGAAGCCUGGAAUCUGCCCCUGUAUGAGGCAACAACACCAGAAUGAUUUUGGUCUGGGGUCAGUAAAAUGAACAGUCUUGGGGAAACCUGUGACUUCUGCACACUGUGGUUACGUUCAUGCCAGGCUUUGGAGGGAUGAUGGGGUGUGAGCAGUGGCAGAAGGAGCAGGGUGAAGGUGACCAUUUCUCAAUGCUCUGGCUGCUGCAAGUGUAAAGGAGGAUGUUAAAUGGGAUGCCUGAGAGAACAAAACCAAGAGUUAACAAGUUUGUCUGCUGUUUGCAGACUGAAUGGUCCUCAGAGCCACUGGUGUUGAAAUGGAUUUUCAGCUCCUAAAUGCCAUUGCAGAGGGAGGUUCCUGAACCACUAUGAUUAUAUACAUUCUUAUAGAAUAUUAUACUCCCUCCUGCCCAGAAAGAUGCUGCACGGCUUCCUGCACUGGCUAGAGAAGAGAGUUGACAAUGUGAAGGAAGAUGGAAAUACAGGGCUGAUAUCUCUCUGAUUUUAAUAUUUAACGGCUAAAAUCACAAAUUUCUCAGAGAAGUGGAAAACAGACCUAAUGUGGAACUUCUGGUCAUGGAUUUUUUUAAUUUAAAAAUAUUCUGGGGCAAAGCCUUCAGAUUCUCAGGUUUCUUUUUUUUUAUUUCUCCAAUGUUUUGUUUCACUAAUUUUUCAAUUGUCCCAUCUCAACUUUCAAAGAAAGCAGUUCUUCUGGGGGGAAAAAUAGUGAUUUUGAUUUCUUUGUUGUCAACAGUCAUCAUAGUCUCUAAAAUGGGGGUUAAAAGACCUUCUUAAUCCACUGGACUUCCCAAGACGUAAUUUCUCUUAGCCAAAAUCAGCAGAAAACCUCUGCACUUUUCCAUAACCCUGUAGGCUGCCAUAAUCAUAAUGAUUGUACCACAGCAGAAGAGAGAGAAUGAUGUUUAAGGGAGGCAUCUGGAGAUCCAGACUUUCAGGUUUUGUGUCUGCUCCCAUCAUCAACCUGGGAGCACUGCUUUUUUCAAAUCUCAUAGUACAAAAUUUUCAAAACCAGAAUUCUUAAACUCAGACACCUCCUUAGGUCCUCUGAGAUUUGCAGUCAUCAAACCUGAGGCCUUUGGGUGCCCUGUGAGCAUCAAACCAUAAACAAGAGCAUUUAUACUACAUCUCUGAUAUCAUCUCUAGGUAGCACUGUUGUGUCCAGUUCCAAAAGAAUGUCAAAAGUCUG
rnacentral:lncRNA from 1 species